rnacentral:lncRNA from 1 species
CCGCCGGAUUUAGUCGCCGCGCACCGGAAAGCACCAAAACCGGUGACCGGCUGCAGAUUGGUCCGGAAUAAACGGAGGGGUAUUUGGGGAUGAAGUGUGGGUCGGAAUAUCGAGCGAGCGAGCAUCAUUGUACUACCUGUGAACUUCAUAGCUGCCAUUACCGAAUCUUCGAUUAAUUUACAAAUAUGAAAAAUGAAUUUCUGAACA